UACGGAGGGGGCUAGCGUUGUUCGGAAUUACUGGGCGUAAAGCGCACGUAGGCGGCUUUGUAAGUUAGAGGUGAAAAGCCCGGGGCUCAACUCCGGAAUUGCCUUUAAGACUGCAUCGCUAGAAUUGUGGAGAGGUAAGUGGAAUUCCGAGUGUAGAGGUGAAAUUCGUAGAUAUUCGGAAGAACACCAGUGGCGAAGGCGACUUACUGGACACAUAUUGACGCUGAGGUGCGAAAGCGUGGGGAGCAAACAGGG
rnacentral:rRNA from 1 species